rnacentral:rRNA from 1 species
AAUCAACGCUGGCGGCGUGCUUAACACAUGCAAGUCGAGCGAGAGCCAGCUGAGGGGUAACCCUCGGCUGGGGACAGCGGCGAACGGGUGCGUAACACGUGGGCAACCUGCCCCCUGACACUGGGAUAACCCCGGGAAACCGGAGCUAAUACCGGAUACUCUCGGCCGAUCACAUGGCUGGCCGAGGAAAGGUCCGCCGGUCAGGGAUGGGCCCGCGGCCUAUCAGCUUGUUGGUGGGGAACGGCCUACCAAGGCGACGACGGGUAGCUGGUCUGAGAGGACGACCAGCCACACUGGAACUGAGAUACGGUCCAGACUCCUACGGGAGGCAGCAGUGGGGAAUAUUGCACAAUGGGCGAAAGCCUGAUGCAGCGACGCCGCGUGAGGGAUGAAGGCC